UCACAGCAGUCCCCAGCGCAAACGUAACGCACGUACGUCACCAAAUUCACUUCCUUGUUUUUGGCUUGAAGAUGCGGACGUGUGCGACACUAAUGUCUCUCGUUUACCAACAAAAAUUACUGCGGAAGACUGUGCAAAACAAUUAAUUCCCUGAUGUUCUUCUCCAAAGCGGAAAACAUAUCAGGAGAAACUAGCGGAUCACAGACCAGACAAAUCACCGUGAUGGAAACUGUUGGAUCCAGAUUUGUUGGAGCACUGAAAGAAUGAAGAUAAGUCUGAGAAAUUACUCCAGCAAGGAAGGCGGCGGAGUGAUGUGACGAUUGGCAUAUGUGAAUCAUUCCUUUGUUAGCAACAUUACUCAAACGGACUAAGGGAUUUGGAUGAAAUUUUCAGGGAAGGUCAGAAAUGACUCAAGGACCAAGUGAUUCGAUUUUGGCAGUGAUGCGGCUUAAAGUCUGAAUCCACGGAUUUGCUAAGGAUUUCCCAUUGAGAUACCAGCAUGGCGUCUGAUAGCGGCACGGUAACCAUGGCAACAAGUGAACGCUACCACAGCUGCCUGCUGACGAUCACAUCAUUGCGAUCCUACUACAAAUCCACUGCUGUAGAUGUAUCGGAAAUGAUACAAGGAACAGCUGAUUAGAUUGUGGGGGUGUUUCUGAGUCACAACAAUUCCCGCCGCCCGUUACAUAUUUAGGUCAUGCGAUUCGGUAUCUGUGCAUAAUGUACACAUGCAUAACACACGCCUGUGUUCAGCGCAAGGUCAGGGAAUGAACAGUCUUGGAGGAGUACUGUGCCCUCUGAGUGAUUUUCUUGCUAAUUGACAUGACAAGCUGUGAGCGUGUGUGUGUGUGUGAACACGUGUGUGUCAGGAGGUGAAAUUAACUUUUUAAGCCACUAACAGAUCUGUCCAAAUGUGAUUCAUUCCAUAGUAAAUUUUCAUUUUGUGCCUUAAAUCUACCAGCCACUUCAUGUUAAGCCAGUAUCUGGCUGCUGCUAAUUUCCCACCAUAGUAUGCCAGCUUGUGUAAAUGGGUUGGAGCGUUAAAGAAUUAAUUUCGGAAUAAAUAUUGUUAAUUAUAAUGCUGAAACGUGUAAAAACUGAAAAAAAAUGCAACUUUUUAGCAAUCGUCACUGUCUCCCGCAAUUUCAUCACAACAAAUAAGCUUAGAAAAUCACAACUUACAUCGUAAUUUUUCAGAAAAACUGCUGCGAAUUCAGGCAUUUUAGGCCGCAACAAUCUGGAAAAACACCCGCAAAAUCCUGGAGGGACUGCAUACUAUAUAACCUACACUUCUAACUUGUAGAGCAUUUUCAGGCUUUGGUCUACUUAUUAUUGUGUCAUUUUCCUAAUACGUUUAUAUUUCAUUUAAAAAAAGUGUAGAUUUUCACAGCAUCUGGUUGUGAAUGGCAGCCUCUUUAGAUGGACCCACUUCUAUGUAUAUAUAAAGCGCAAAUUCUAACUUCAGGAAAAUGCAACAUUUCUUAAUUUCAUUGAAUUAUACUGGAACUUGUUUAUAAAUAUUAGUCUAUAUUCAGUUUCUGUCAACACCGUCAGAUGUAGGUUUUGUUAAUUUUUGAAUGAAAAUGUUCAUUCUUUCUUCAGCUUAUGUUGUUCAUGUAAUAAAGGACCAUCUGAUCUA